UACAGAGGUCUCAAGCGUUGUUCGGAUUCAUUGGGCGUAAAGGGUGCGUAGGCGGCGCGGUAAGUCGGGUGUGAAAUCUCGGAGCUUAACUCCGAAACUGCAUUCGAUACUGCCGUGCUUGAGGACUGGAGAGGAGACUGGAAUUCACGGUGUAGCAGUGAAAUGCGUAGAUAUCGUAAGGAAGACCAGUGGCGAAGGCGGGUCUCUGGACAGUUCCUGACGCUGAGGCACGAAGGUCAGGGGAGCAAACAGG
rnacentral:rRNA from 1 species